UCUUUUCCUUUUUUGCCCGCCGCCGCGGUAAAACGUAGCUCACAAGCGUUGUCCGGAAUUACUGGGUGUAAAGGGAGCGCAGGCGGGAAGACAAGUUGGAAGUGAAAUCCAUGGGCUCAACCCAUGAACUGCUUUCAAAACUGUUUUUCUUGAGUAGUGCAGAGGUAGGCGGAAUUCCCGGUGUAGCGGUGGAAUGCGUAGAUAUAUGGAGGAACACCGGUGGCGAAAGCGGCUCUCUGGUCUGUAACGGACGCGGAUGCGCGAAAGCGGGGGGAGCGAACAGG
rnacentral:rRNA from 1 species